rnacentral:tRNA from 1 species
CAAGGAUUUAAGUUAAAAGGAAACUAAUAGCCUUCAAAGCUGUAAAUGGAGAAGAAUUUCUAAACCUU